rnacentral:rRNA from 1 species
AUGGAGGAUCUCCCAGAGGAACUGUUUGCAGAAUUUCUCAAAAGGAUCACCAGGACAAGUGAUCUGAAUUCUUUUUCCCUUGUGUCGAAGCGGCUCUACAAGAUUGAGGGAGAUCAGAGGGGUGCUAUCCAUAUUGGCUGUGGCCUUUUCCCUGCUACGGAAGCCUUGGCAUCGCUGUGCACCCGAUUCCCUAAUUUGUGUAAAGUGGAAAUCGACUACUCUGGUUGGACGGUAGGCCAUGGCAAUCAGUUGGACAACCAAGGCCUCUCUGUGUUAUCAUCUCACUGCCCCUCGCUGACUAGUCUCGGUUUAAGCUUUUGCUCAUACAUCGAUGACUCUGGUCUUGGUUAUCUAGCCUGUUCCAAGAAACUAGCGUCCCUCAGGUUGACCUCCACACCAAACAUAACUUCAAGAGGGCUUCUCACCGUGGCUGUUCGUUGCAAGAGUCUUUCUGCUCUCCACCUUAUUGACUGCCAUAAACUAGGUAGCAAAGAUUGGUUGGAGUACCUUGGCUCUGUAGGAUCAUUGGAAGAGCUUGUAGUAAAGAAGUGUGAGGGCAUCAGCCAGGAUGACCUCCUGAAGUUUGGCCCAGGAUGGAUAAAUUUACAGAAGUUUGUGUUUGAAAUCAAGAAAAGAUUCUUUCGUAAUGACGGGGCUGGGCCUGGUGAGGGCUAUGAUCCCUCAUACGACCCUCAUAGCCUGAAUAUGUAUGAUUUCAGUUGUGAGAAUAUGAAGGACUUGAGGUUGGCAGGUAUCGAAAUUGCGACAGGAAAAGGACUUCGUUUUCUCUUUGGGAGGUGCAAAGCACUGGAGAAGCUUUGCUUGGAGUAUGUUCGGGGUCUAAAUGACAACGACAUGGUUGCAUUAUCCCAGAGCUGCAACAAUCUUAAAAGCGUCUCACUUUGGCUGGAUCCUCAGAAUUAUUACGAUACUUUCAGGACGGCAUUUACUGAUAACAGCCUUAAGGCUCUAUCUCUCAGUUGCCCUAUGCUUGAGAGUGUUGAUCUCACAUUUACAGGUUGCUCUGCCAUCUACACGUCAGAAAUAGGCUUCACACGGAAGGGCCUAGUGGCUCUCAUUAAGUCUUGCCCGAUUCGUGUUCUCGUGCUAAGGGGUGCCAACUUCUUUAAUGACAAAGGGAUGAAGGCCGUCUCAUCUGCUCCAUUACUGGAGACACUCGAGCUUGUGGAUUGCCAGGCCAUAAGUAAUGCUGGGCUGCGGUUCAUUGUGCGUGCCCCAUGCUUGAUUAAUCUCACGCUCCGGCUCUGUGACCGUGUGACUAAUGCUGGAGUAUCGAAGCUGGCACAUUCACAGAAGUUAGAGUCUCUGAUCAUUGAACGUUGUUCCCGGGUCUCUGAGCAGGCUGUGCGUGGGGCUGCCAGAUCAGUUCAAUACUCCGAGUCUGUACCCCUCAGCGAGCUAGAAAAAUUGUUCACAACUUCGUGCAGUUGA